GCCACCAUGGUGAGGGGUUCGAGUCCCACUGAUGGCCACCAUGGUGAGGGUUCGAGUCCCACUGGUGGCC